CCACACAAUAAAUCUUUCAGCAGUGAGAAAUUAAGAGACGAAAGGUACUGCUUGGGGUAUAAUUUAUUUGGACCCAUUACUUUAGAGUGAGCGCGGAAACAUUGGGAGCAGACAUGAAGUAGCCUGCAGGCACUGUAACCACAAGUGCCCGUAUUAAAGUUAUUACAUACUUGUGACUUUCCCAGAAACACUAUAUCGCGGCCCAGUUUAUCCUUAAGGACCUUGCCUGGUCUCCC